GCCAGGUGUGAUGGCACGCGCCUGUAAUCCCAGCUACUCGGGAGGCUGAGGCAGGAGAAUCGCUUGAACCCAGGAGGCGGUGGUUUGCAGUGAGCCAAGAUCAUGCCACUGCACUCCAGCCUGGGCAACAGAGUGAAAUUCUGUCUCAA
rnacentral:SRP_RNA from 1 species